rnacentral:tRNA from 3 species
AGGGCUAUAGCUCAGUUGGUAGAGCACCUCGUUUACACACCGAGAAGGUCUACGGUUCGAGUCCGUAUAGCCCUAAUCCUAAUAAUCCUA